CAUAUUUGGAUCUCUGUGUUUUUUAGUGAAGAGCUUUCAUGUUCUAAAGUAAUUACAACGGGGUGAGUGUGUGUUUUUUACAUAUAGGGAUAAGGCUUUCUUAAUAGACAAAUAAGAAAAGGAUGCACAGCAUAGAGAACUUAGUUCUCUAUCAAUAUCUAUCCCAGGCUAUUUUAGUGAUUGAUCAGAGGCCUGAAUAUUUAAGGCCGGAGAACACACCUCAUUCUGAUGAAAAUGAAACAUGGAUAUUUUUAAUCUGGUUUAUACUGAGCUUAUUUCAAAGAGUUGUUUGGGGUUUGUUUCAGGUUCCCUUGAGAUUAUGUAAGCACUUCAAGUUGCAUCCAGAUGUACUAUACUGUCAUGAAAUCUUCAUAGAGACAAAUAAUGGGUAUUUCUGUUACAUCUUCUGUGCAGGUCACAGGGAGGAAUGAAUGCCUGUUCAACACUGGAAUAGACAACAGAAUGCAAGAGAUUUUUCCAGUUUACAAUUGUCUGUAUUUCUCAGAGGCUUUGAUCUUCACAUAAUGUUUGUUUACUCCUGCAGGCACAUAUAUGUCAUAUCAUAAUGGCUCCUAUCUGUAAAGACAUGUGUCUGUCACUGUCUGAUUUUAUACCUGAUGAGUGACCACAAGAAGUACUGAGAUAGGUGGAUUGGCAGGACACGUGUGAGCAAACAGCUCAAAGAUGAGGUGAGCUUCAUGUGCCCUGCUUUUCAAUUCUGUUUAGGAAACAGCACCCAGGCUGACCACGAUAUGACACGUGGUGAGACACUGUGGCUUGACUCCAAACAUGAUUUUCCUUGGUGUUUGUUACUAAUAUUGAGGGUUUUUUUCACUGCAGCUGCAGGCCCCAACCUCACCUGGACAUCUCCUGGCAGAUGGCCCCACCAGUCACACCACAGGGAAGACAUCUGCAUGCAAGGAUGCCACCUUGCACGUACAGUAAAUGUGCCAGGGGUAAGCAGAGCCCUUACUUUGCAAGGAUCACAGUCAGAGGUUCCUUGCAAGGGCUGAAUUCACCAGCAGUUCCUGAAAAGCAAGACUUGGUUACAGACUGUGCUUUGCCGAGAAUUACGUAUCAUUAUGUUGAUUCAUGUGGCAGCCCAUGAGGUCCUGAGAGUCACCAUUCCUCUCAGUAAGAGCGGGGGGAGGCUCACCUGAGUGCCCAGCUGCUGGUCUGCCGUGUCUUAGCAGGGGUCAUUUCCCUUCCACCAGAGUCCUGAGUCCCUGAAGGAGGUGCCAGACCCACAUGGCUGCCUGCAAGGCUCACAGCAGCAUCUUUUAGAUGAGAGAAAGGGAAAGGACAGCUAACACUCCCCCACAUCAGCACAGCAUGUCCCAGAAACCUCUAAAGGAGUUACUGUUAAUUUUCCCUCCCACAGUCCCCCUGGAUAGUGUGGGCACAAGAGUGUGGAAAAAGCUUUCAAAGCUGUGACUUGAGAUUUCCCCGCAGGGGCUCACAGAGGAAAGUUAGGGACAACGGAGGGAAGUGCACAAGAAGAGACCCUUGCCUGCUCCUUGCAAAUUGCUCUCCUCUGCAGUUAAGUAUCCCUCUCACACUCCCCCAGAACAGGGAGGAUAUGACAUUUUAUUUAGUGUAAAGUCACCUGAAGACUUGCCAGCACCUUGCUCCUGCCCCACAUGGCACAUUGCUGCCUCUAGUUGUAGGGCUGUGCUGGGAAUGCAGAGGUGAGGCAUUUAAAUGCAGAAAAUAAACUUCCCAGGGAGAGGUGAGUGAUGCUUUCCCUAAUGAUUUCAGAGUUGGCCUUGCCGUGCACCCCAGGAAGAGUUGCCACGGGAGCGGUGAAGAGACCACAUAGGGAGUGAGAGGCUGGAAUCGGGACAGUACCUGGGCACGGGGAGCGGGAGGAGGUGGGCCAAAUUCUGGCUCCCUCCAAAUGAUCUGGCUGGUGCUGAGGCAUAUGAACAUGAACACGAGUGGGACACCUCUAUGACAGUGCUGCAAUGUGCAGGAUCCAGUGAGACACGACAACUUGAUGCUUAAAUGGUAAUUGAAAAUGGAUGAAAACAUGAGGAUAAAGGACCCUGAUCAUCAGUCUGACUUCAGGGGAGGAUCCCUUCAGGUAUUGGAAGGCUCCCAUUAGGUCACCCUGAAACCUUCUCUUCUCCCAGCUGCUCCAGCAUUCCUUGUUAGCAAAUGCUCUCAUGCACCCCGACAUGGAGCCAGGAUGCCAGAUCUGAAACAUUUUAAAUGAAGGCAUGGUAUUUGCAACACAUGGCCCUUUUUGGCAUCCUGGAUUACGUCUGUGCAUUUUCUCUGACUCUAAAGUAAAGGGUGAUCUGUGAUGGUGCGUUGUGAUCUGUCCCCCUCUCUGUGCUGUCACCACUCCGUUUGGACAUGAAGCUGAAGGGAUGUAUGUGCCUAUUAACAGGCAGGCAGAAGCCAGGCUGCACUUUGCACAUAUGGGACCCAUUAGCUUUUAAAUCUCCCCCAGAGAUUGUCCAUAUUUAUCAUGUCCACAAAAGAAAACCCGUGUGCUUGGACAUAUUGAGUGAAAUUGAGACUAUCAAAUAUGUUUACACAACGGUGGAAGACAAGCAAUUGAGAAAAAUGUUUAGAUAAACGUUUAUUGCUCUGACAACUAUCACCAAUGUUUUUGUACAGAAACCUAGUUUUUAUCAAUAUGAUUAAUAUUUUCGCUUGACAUUUUAACCAAGGGGUUAAGCAGAGGGCAUUUAUUUUGUAUGGCAUUUAAACAAGAUUCUGAGCAAUGCUGGAGGAUGGAUGACCAGAAGGUAAAGUAGUGUUGCCCAGUAUAACCCUUAAAAUAACUCAAACUCCAGAGUUCGUAGUCUGAGGCACAGUGGCUCACUAACCUCCAGUAAAUAUCUUGUGGGACUGCAACAUGUGUCUUGCAACUACAGAGCAACACCAAGAGAGAUCUGUGUCCUAGUUUCAGCUGGGAUGGAGAUAGUUUUCUUCCUAGUAGCUGACACAAUGCUGGGUUUUGAAUUUAGGAUGAGAAUAAAUUGAUAACACACUGAUCUUUUGGUUGUUGCUAAGUAGCGCUUACCUUACAUCAAGGGCUUUUCAGUCUCCCAUGGUCUGCCAGUGAACAGAUGUACAAAAAGCUGGGAUAAAUGAGCCAAACUGAUCAAAGGGACAUUCUAUAAACUUGAGAAUUUGGCCAUGAGCUUCUGAUGGCCACAUGUGGAUGGCUGGGCAUCAGUCAG